GACGAACGCUGGCGGCGUGCUUAACACAUGCAAGUCGAACGGAAAGGCCCUGCUUUUGUGGGGUGCUCGAGUGGCGAACGGGUGAGUAACACGUGAGUAACCUGCCCUUGACUUUGGGAUAACUUCAGGAAACUGGGGCUAAUACCGGAUAGGAGCUCCUGCUGCAUGGUGGGGGUUGGAAAGUUUCGGCGGUUGGGGAUGGACUCGCGGCUUAUCAGCUUGUUGGUGGGGUAGUGGCUUACCAAGGCUUUGACGGGUAGCCGGCCUGAGAGGGUGACCGGCCACAUCGGGACUGAGAUACGGCCCAGACUCCUACGGGACGCAGCAGUGGGGAAUAUUGCACGAUGGGCGGAAGCCUGAUGCAGCAACGCCGCGUGCGGGAUGACGGCCUUCGGGUUGUAAACCGCUUUCGCAUGUGACGAAGCGUGAGUGACGGUAAUGGGUAAAGAAGCACCGGCUAACUACGUG
rnacentral:rRNA from 1 species